CAGUAGCCGCGGUAAUACGUAGGUCCCGAGCGUUGUCCGGAUUUAUUGGGCGUAAAGCGAGCGCAGGCGGAUAGAUAAGUCUGAAGUUAAAGGCUGUGGCUUAACCAUAGUACGCUUUGAAAACUGUUUAACUUGAGUGCAAGAGGGGAGAGUGGAAUUCCAUGUGUAGCGGUGGAAUGCAUAGAUAUAUGGAGGAACACCGGUGGCGAAAGCGGCUCUCUGGUCUGUAACUGACGCUGAGGCUCGAAAGCGUGGGGAGCGAACAGGAUUAGAUACCCGAGUAGUCCCUGUCUCUUAUACC
rnacentral:rRNA from 1 species